rnacentral:rRNA from 1 species
AGUCAAUAGAUACCCAGGUAGUCCACGCCGUAAACGAUGAGUACUAGGUGUAGGAGGUAUCGACUCCUUCUGUGCCGCAGUUGACACAAUAAGUACUCCGCCUGGGAAGUACGGUCGCAAGAUUAAAACUCAAAGGAAUUGACGGGGGCCCGCACAAGCAGCGGAGCAUGUGGUUUAAUUCGAAGCAACGCGAAGAACCUUACCUAGACUUGACAUCUCCUGAAUAGUGUAGAGAUACAUGAAGCCCUUCGGGGUCAGGAAGACAGGUGGUGCAUGGUUGUCGUCAGCUCGUGUCGUGAGAUGUUGGGUUAAGUCCCGCAACGAGCGCAACCCUUAUUACUAGUUGCUACCAUUAAGUUGAGCACUCUAGUGAGACUG